rnacentral:lncRNA from 1 species
CCUCUAGAGUUAUAGCCUCUUUCGCGACCUCUUCCAAAUCUUGAAGACUGAUUUUUAACUACAUCUUUAUUGUUGUCUUUCUCAAUAGUUUUUAUCUGAAAAAUCUAUUUCAUAACCCCUUGUACACGCCUAUUCAAACACUGCUCAUAUGCUUUAAGAGAACCAAUCAAACCAUUAAAAAAAAAUUUAGAUAGAUCCUUAGAUUCUUCAAUUGCAGCCAUAACAUGAUCAAACCUAGAAGGUAGGCUACGCAAAACUUUCUCAACAAUUGUUUGUUUAAUUAAUUUUUCAUCAAGAGAAUG